rnacentral:rRNA from 1 species
AUUGAACGCUGGCGGCAUGCUUUACACAUGCAAGUCGAACGGUAGCAGGCCGCAAGGUGCUGACGAGUGGCGCACGGGUGAGUAAUGCAUCGGAACGUGCCCAGUCGUGGGGGAUAACUACUCGAAAGAGUAGCUAAUACCGCAUACGAUCUAUGGGUGAAAGCGGGGGGCCGUAAGGCCUCGCGCGAUUGGAGCGGCCGAUGUCAGAUUAGGUAGUUGGUGGGGUAAAGGCUCACCAAGCCAACGAUCUGUAGCUGGUCUGAGAGGACGACCAGCCACACUGGGACUGAGACACGGCCCAGACUCCCACGGGAGGCAGCAGUGGGGAAUUUUGGACAAUGGGCGCAAGCCUGAUCCAGCAAUGCCGCGUGCAGGAAGAAGGCCUUCGGGUUGUAAACUGCUUUUGUACGGAACGAAACGGCUCUGGUUAAUACCCGGGGCUAAUGACGGUACCGUAAGAAUAAGCACCGGCUAACUACGUG